ACCUAAUAUUCUACAGAUGCGGGUAAAUUCGACAGAGUACAUUCACCUAAUAUUUUAGGGCAGCUAAAAAUUCGCUCUUUGACUUCUGCAUUAAUGGUCUGCAUGACGUCUGAUGUUCGCUCCACUGUUGUGACGUCACCCUCCCACAAUGCCUGGCUUCCAGCGCGAUGCCCCCCAGUACAGGCCCAAACUCCAAGAAACGGCUUUCAAACUUGUGCCACAAUUUCGACGUGGAGCACAAACGGAGACUGGGAAGAUAGCUGGAAAGACAUGCAUUCACUAGGAGCGAGCAGGACCAUCUGAAACUCAAAGGACCCAGCCUCCCACCACUUCGCUUGAGCCUUUAUCAUCUUCUUUGAGUGACGAUGGUGCAGAAGAAGAAGAUGAGUAUAAGCCACCUGCCCAUCAUCUACGUAGUACCUCAAGACCUGUGAAACACAAGGGAGCUUCUGCCCCAAGACAAAGGAGCAACUCAUCCAGGCCAGCAAAGAGAGGGAAACAAGGCUCGAGGCGGACGAGUCAGGAUAACCCUCCACCUGGUGAUGACAACAUGGACAUGUGGCACUCUCCAGGUGAGCUCGAUACUGAGCCACAAGCACCUACAGUACAUUUACACCGAGCCAUCCUCCAGAACCUCGAAUUGACACCACAAAAUCCUGGUCACCGCUGAGGCUUUUCAAACUGUUUCUUAGUGCAAGCACCAUCUGGCCCAUAAUCCAGAACACAAAUAAAAAUGCACAAAGAACAAUUGAAAAUUCUUGUUUUCAAUAAAAUCCCAUUGUUUGGAGAUAAACUAUAUAAUUCAACUUGUUUUUUAUUCAUUAUAUUGAUAUUAUGUUGUGCACAAUGAUGCAUUUUGAUGAUACACAGGGUACAUGUCAUGAUCAAAGGCUAUGUCAUAUGCAGAAUGACUCCUACAUUGGUAAUCAGUACUUUUAUUUGACCAGAUUCCCUUUUAUGAGAUGGAAUACACAUUCGGCACAUUUGGCUAAAUCCCAGCUCCGCCUGGCACAUUGCCCACUAAAACCUUUGUGGAACAUAAAUGCUUUAACUGAUUCAGUCCAAAUUUGCUGCAGUUAUAGCCAAGAUGUUUAUGAAUACAACGUGGGGGUUCUCCUAGGAUUUCCAAAGGAUUUUCAUGGUGUUUCACAAUGUUUUUUUAGAACAAAAUUUAGGCGAGGGCCAAAAAAUAGAAACUUUUUUGUGUUUAAUCGUGAAUAAAUCAGACAUGGUAACAGUUGCAACAGUGGUUCCACUGGUAAUAUAUUCAUUUAUGUCUUACCUUUACACAGGUACCAAGAGUUUGCAUGUAGUCCUUGUAGUUGUGGAGCUAUACUUGAUUUAUUUAAGGUAUGUAAUUUCAGGCGGAAAUUGCUCUAAAACCCCUUAGGGCUUAACAGGUUAAAUUGCAGAGCAGUCGUGUGAAUAGGAUGAAGAGGGGAAUGCUGACAACGCGAUCCUGCGGCGUGCCGGUGCUGAGGAUCAAUGGGGCACAUAUGAGUUUCCCUAUCCUCACCACCUGGGGCCUGUUGGUGAGGAAGUCGCUGAUCCAGGAGCAAAGUGGUGCAGAUAAACCAAUGCUAUUUAUUCAAAGUAAUCAGACCGGAAAUGUGCAUAAAGAGAAGUGGGUAAGACAUGCAACAAAGUUCCCGAGGUAAGGAAUGGAAUCCUGGAUGGCAGGGUUGGGAAUAAAAUAGCUCUGUAUUUGUAACUCUACCACUAUGCUGUGCACUGCAUGUUUACCUUGCUCAAUGAAAGCCAUAAGUGUAUCUUUUUUUUUGGUCUAUUGUUUUCUACACCAUUAGUCUAGACAAAAAAUGUCUGUACAGAGCCGCAAGAACAGGAUAUGGGCCACCACGUUUUUAGACAAGAUUAAUGAGUGGGUGUCUCCCAAGUCAUGGGAUGUUUGUCAUCAUAGUUAUUAUACUAAGCAAAAAAGAGUGGUCAUAAAAGCGAAAUACUUUGUGUUAACAUUUUCCAUUGUAGUGGUUAAUUUGAACAUUUCUAGUACUUCACAUAACAAUACUAUGUGGCAAUCUAGGCUUGACACGAAAAGAAUCUUCCAACACAGUAACUCUGAACAUGAAAUCUAAUUAAAAAGGAACUACAAACAGGGUUACAAGAUUCACUUUUGGCUCAACUAGGCAUCUCGGUCAAAUAACAGUCUUGCUCUUCAGGCUGCUUAACUGGGUCUGAGAGCCUAGUGGCUAUGAUGUUAUCAAAACCAUUUCAAGGGCCACUGCAUUGAACUUUAGACACACAUUUCUUGACAUCAUCAAAAAUGACGCUUGAUAGUGAGAGAUAAGCAAAAUGAACAGAUACACAACUGGACAGUUAAGACUAGGGAUGGGUACCGAAUUCGGUACUCUUAUGCCCCUUUUCUAGUGGCUCGAUUUGGCCCGACUCGGCUCCACUUCGCGAGUGUUUCCAUUACUGUCAUUUCAGGACCGGUACCUACUUUUUUGGUACCUCCUUUCUUAGCAGGACUAAGCGAGGCUGAGUCGGUACUAUAUGUGACAUGAACAAACGGCUGUUCACUGAUUGGCCAGCGUAAAAAAAAAAAAAACAACUGGCAUUUUCGAACAUGCAAAACAAAAAAAAAUAGGCACACACGGUCACAAUCACAGACUCCCACCCUCAUGCAUACACAUAAAAUUACUCGCACCACGUAAAGACAAACAACAAUGGACGUCAUACACUCACUCACACUCCCUAUGCAUACUCUAUACUCCCAGGUCCAGGCGCCGGUACCCCCUAGGGGCAGCCAGCCCGGCCCACUGGCGUAACAGGGCAGACCCCACCGAGCACCGCACCCUCAACAGGAUCCCCGACCCCGCACCAUGACGGUACCAACUCAUCCACCAAGAGGUCCCCGGCCAGUGGCAGGCACCCAGGGCCAGUGUCCCCCACCAUGCCCCCCUCAGCCACAAAAAACACAUCACUGCCACUGCAACAACCGUGACGACUAUCACGGUAGUGCUCAAACUCCAGACCUGAGUACAUAGGAAUCUCAGAAAACCAAAUAAUUAUGAGCAGAAAUGAAAUUUUGUAACAAAAUUUAACAGUGAAAAUCUUCUAGAUUAGAAUUGUGCUGCAGGAAAUAAAAAUACAUAAGGUUCUUAAGAAGUAGAAUAAAUGGUCAAACCAUUUUCCAUUCAUGAAGAACAUUCUUCUAAAAGCUCUCUUAACCCAGUUCCAGCCUCCACAUCAACGAAGGGUAACGUUCUGUAGGUCAAUUUGGUUCCUUCUCAUCACCUGUACUGAUAAAGAAAAAGGCACUGUUCCUUUUAGCAGUGAUAAUCAAUUAUAUUCGCUCAGGGUUUUCAUGCAAAAGAAAGAAACAGAAAUUAGCAAGGAUAGUUCGAGCAAUCACCUUUUCCCCUGGAUGCAUGCUUAGUGCCAUUCUACCUCGCCCUAUCAGCAAAGAUUUUGUUCUAAACUAUGUACUUCUCAGACAUUAUCCUGUAAAGAGAUAGAUUGACAUUGCUAACUACUGUGUUUGUACAGUAAGUCAAAAUAAGUUGAAAAGUCUUCAAUUGGAUCCAGUGCCUGAAAAUAGUGCGUCUAGUGUGCAUUUUAUUACCCUUCAGAAAUUAGUCAUAUUAUAAAACCGUGUGUGACCUCACCUCAUGUGUUAAAUCGAUCUCAUAAACCUUUGACCUAACCCCCCUUUGAUCAGAAAGAUAUAUCCUAACAUUUAGAUGUGUUAUUCAGGCUUCAUCGAUAAGUUCAGGUUUCCCCUCUUAUUUGACAGACAUGAGCUUUGUCACUUUUGUAUUUCAAAUGGUCCUCUCACUCAGUUAAAUGUUUCUUUUUUGAUAUUAGAUUCUGUUUUUAAAUGAGAGAUGCAUGUUUGAGAUGAUGCAUCCAGGUUUACUCAAAGGAGAAGAAGAUCUGUAGUUUUCAACUGCCACUAAACUGGGGCUGCCGACAUAAAUCAAGAGUCUACCUCUAUCUCACUCCACAUCUGUCUGUCUCCUCUCUCUUUAGUUCUUUAGGCA